rnacentral:rRNA from 1 species
UACGGAAGGUCCGGGCGUUAUCCGGAUUUAUUGGGUUUAAAGGGAGCGUAGGCCGGAGAUUAAGCGUGUUGUGAAAUGUAGUGGCUCAACCUCUGCACUGCAGCGCGAACUGGUCUUCUUGAGUACGCACAACGUGGGCGGAAUUCGUGGUGUAGCGGUGAAAUGCUUAGAUAUCACGAAGAACUCCGAUUGCGAAGGCAGCUCACGGGAGCGCAACUGACGCUGAAGCUCGAAAGUGCGGGUAUCGAACAGGAUUAGCACCCCCUGUAGUCCGGCUGCCUGCCU